rnacentral:rRNA from 1 species
UAAGCGGAGGAAAAGAAACUAACAGGAUUCCCCUAGUAACUGCGAGUGAAGCGGGAAAAGCUCAAAUUUAAAAUCUGGUGGUCUUUGGCCAUNCGAGUUGUAAUCUAGAGAAGCGUCUUCCGCGCUGGACCGUACACAAGUCUCCUGGAACGGAGCGUCGUAGAGGGUGAGAAUCCCGUCUUUGGCAUGGACACACCAGGGCUUUUGUGAUGCGCUCUCGAAGAGUCGAGUUGUUUGGGAAUGCAGCUCAAAAUGGGUGGUGAACUCCAUCUAAAGCUAAAUAUUGGCGAGAGACCGAUAGCGAACAAGUACCGUGAGGGAAAGAUGAAAAGCACUUUGGAAAGAGAGUGAAACAGUACGUGAAAUUGUUGAAAGGGAAACGCUUGAAGUCAGUCGCGUCGACCGAGACUCAGCCUCGCCUCGGCUUGGUGUACUUCUCGGCCCGACGGGUCAGCAUCAAUUUCGCCUCUUGGAUAAUGGCGAGGGAAACGUGACACCUUUACGGUGUGUUAUAGUCUCUCGUCGCAUGCAAGGGUCGGGAUUGAGGAACUCAGCACGCGCCUUUGGGCGUCGGGGCUUUGCCUACGAUACGUGCUUAGGAUGUUGGCGUAAUGGCUUUAAACGACC